AUUGAACGCUGGCGGCAGGCCUAACACAUGCAAGUCGAGCGAGCGGCGGACGGGUGAGUAAUGUAUGGGGACUGCCCGAUAGAGGGGGAUAACUACUGGAAACGGUGGCUAAUACCGCAUACUAUCGGAUACCCCCUAUGGGAUUAGCUAGUAGGUGGGGUAAAGGCUCACCUAGGCGACGAUCUCUCGCUGGUCUGAGAGGAUGAUCAGACACUCUGGGACUGAGACACGGCCCAGACGACGACGGAGGGAGCAGGGGGGAAUAUUGCACAAGGGGAGCAAGCCUGAUGCAGGCAUGCAGGGGGUAUGAAGAAGGCAUUAGGGUUGUAAAGUACUUUCAGCGGGGAGGCGUUACCCGCAGAAGAAGCACCGGCUAACUCCGUGCCAGCAGCCGAGGUAUGC
rnacentral:rRNA from 1 species